rnacentral:rRNA from 1 species
GAAAUGCGAUAAGUAAUGUGAAUUGCAGAAUUCAGUGAAUCAUCGAAUCUUUGAACGCACCUUGCGCCCUUUGGUAUUCCGAAGGGCACACCUGUUUGAGUGUCGUGAAAUUCUCAACCCUCUUCACUUUUUGGUGAUUAGGGAUUGGACUUGGAGGCCUUGCCGGACUUUUUGUUCGGCUCCUCUCAAAUGCAUUAGCGCGUCUUGUUGCGACGUGCGCCUCGGUGUGAUAAUUAUCUACGCUGUGGUGUGCUUGCUUCUGUGGAGAUGUGCUUUCAAACCGUCCGAAAGGACAGCUUUCAUCGAACUUUGACCUCAAAUCAGGUGGGACUACCCGCUGAACUUAA